CCCUUAGAUGUUCUGGGCCGCACGCGCGCUACACUGAUGCAUUCAACGAGUCUAAAACCUGCUCUGAUAGGGGUGGGUAAUCUUUUGAAUGUGCAUCGUGAUUGGGAUAGAUGAUUGCAAUUUUUCAUCUUCAACGAGGAAUACCUAGUAAGUGCGAGUCAUCAGCUUGCGCUGACUACGUCCCUGCCCCUUGUACACACCGCCCGUCGCUGCCCGGAACUGAGCCGUUUCGAGAAAGCCGGGGACUGACGGCUUGUGGGUGCGCAAGCACUUCUUGCCGAUGGAAACCAGUUUAAUCGGUAUGGCUUGAACCGGGCAAAAGUCGUAACA
rnacentral:rRNA from 1 species